UACGUAGGGGGCAAGCGUUAUCCGGAUUUACUGGGUGUAAAGGGAGCGUAGACGGCAAAGCAAGUCCGGAGUGAAAGCCCGGGGCCCAACCCCGGGACUGCUCUGGAAACUGUUAAGCUGGAGUGCGGGAGGGGCAGGCGGAAUUCCUGGUGUAGCGGUGAAAUGCGUAGAUAUCAGGAGGAACACCGGCGGCGAAGGCGGCCUGCUGGACCGUGACUGACGUUGAGGCUCGAAAGCGUGGGGAGCAAACAGG
rnacentral:rRNA from 1 species